AGAGUUUGAUCCUGGCUCAGAACGAACGUUAGCGGCGCGCUUAACACAUGCAAGUCGCACGAGAAAGGGCUUCGGCCCCGGUACAGUGGCGCACGGGUGAGUAACACGUGGGUAAUGUUCCCUCGGGCGGGGGAUAACCUUCCGAAAGGAGGGCUAAUACCGCAUAAGACCACGUCUUCGUAGGAGGACGAGGUAAAAGC
rnacentral:rRNA from 1 species